UGGGGAAUAUUGAACAAUGGGCGCAAGCCUGAUGCAGCCAUGCCGCGUGUAUGAAGAAGGCCUUCGGGUUGUAAAGUACUUUCAGUCGGGAGGAAGGUGGUAAGGUUAAUAACCUUGGCAAUUGACGUUACCGACAGAAGAAGCACCGGCUAACUCCGUGCCAGCAGCCGCGGUAAUACGGAGGGUGCAAGCGUUAAUCGGAAUUACUGGGCGUAAAGCGCACGCAGGCGGUUGAUUGAGUCAGAUGUGAAAUCCCCGGGCUUAACCCGGGAAUUGCAUCUGAUACUGGUCAGCUAGAGUCUUGUAGAGGGGGGUAGAAUUCCAUGUGUAGCGGUGAAAUGCGUAGAGAUGUGGAGGAAUACCGGUGGCGAAGGCGGCCCCCUGGACAAAGACUGACGCUCAGGUGCGAAAGCGUGGGGAGCAAACAGG
rnacentral:rRNA from 1 species